rnacentral:tRNA from 1 species
GCCGCCGUGGUGGAAUGGUAGACACGACGCAUUCAAAAUGCGUUGAGGCAACUCGUACCAGUUCAAGUCUGGUCGGCGGCA